UGGAAGAUGAGCCCCAACUUCUAAAAAUGUGUCGCUACCAGGAUUGAGAUACAAACAGCAUUUGGGAAGGUAGCCACGUUCACAUUUUCAGAGCUCAAAGCAAGAUAUGACACUAAGCUCUUCUUCUCUUUUCUGAUUCUUGCAGGUCUCAUCUGAGUAGCAUCUUCCUGCCCUCCUUCCUGGAGAUAAGUAGGGCUUUUGGUGAGACAGACUUUCCCGACCCUCUGCCCAGCCGGUGCCCAUGCUUCUGUGGCUGCUGCUGCUGAUCCUGACUCCUGGAAGAGAACAAUCAGGGGUGGCCCCAAAAGCUGUACUUCUCCUCGAUCCUCCAUGGUCCACAGCCUUCAAAGGAGAAAGAGUGGCUCUCAUAUGCAGGGGAAUAUCACAUUCCCCAGCCCAGGGAGACACGUAUUGGUAUCGCAAUGAGAAGUUAUUGAAAAUAAAAUAUAACAAGAUCCAAAUUACAGAGUCUGGAAAUUAUCAAUGUAAGACCCGAGGAUCCUCCCUCAGUGAUGCCGUGCAUGUGGGAUUUUCACCUGACUGGCUGAUCCUGCAGGCUUCACAUCCUGUCUUUGAAGGAGACAAUGUCAUUCUGAGAUGUCAGGGGAAAGAUGACAAAAACACUCAUCAAAAGGUUUACUACAAGGAUGGAAAACAGCUUCCUAACAGUUAUAAUUUAGACAAUAUCACAGUGAAUUCAGUCUCCAGAGAUAAUAGCAAAUAUCAUUGUACUGCUACUUGUAAGAGGUUUUACAUGAUUAACUUUAAAGAAACUUCAAAACACCUAAAUAUCCAAGUUCAAGGUAAUGGCUAGAUUCCUGUGGAUUACUGGGUUUGGUAGGGAAACUGAGGAUAAAGGGAAGGUGUUUAUCAGUGGUAAUUUCAUAAAGAGGAUCCUAUGGCUCAGCCAUGGGAGGGAGAUGGUUCCUUCUGCAUGUUUCUCUAUCUCCUGAUGGCUGGUGCUGAGAACACAAGUGCAUCUCUCUAGGAACUCUGAGCCUCACCACCCUGGGGACUAUGUUGUUUCUUUUCAUUAGAGCUGUUUCUACAUCCUGUGCUGAGAGCCAGCUCUUCCACACCCAUAGAGGGGAGUCCCAUGACCCUGACCUGUGAGACCCAGCUCUCUCCACAGAGGCCAAAUAUCCAGCUGCAAUUCUCCUUCUUCAGAGAUAGCCAGACCCUCGGAUCAGGCUGGAGCAGGUCCCCCAAACUCCAGAUCCCUGCCAUGUGGACUGAAGACUCGGGGUCUUACUGGUGUGAGGUGGAGACAGUGACUCACAGCAUCAAAAAAAGGAGCCUGAGAUCUCAGAUACGUGUACAGAGAGUUCCUGUGUCUAAUGUGAAUCUAGAGAUCCGGCCCACCGGAGGGCAGCUGAUUGAAGGAGAAAAUAUGGUCCUUAUUUGCUCAGUAGCCCAGGGUUCAGGGACUGUCACAUUCUCCUGGCACAAAGAAGGAAGAGUAAGAAGCCUGGGUAGAAAGAGCCAGCGUUCCCUGUUGGCAGAGCUGCAUGUUCUCACCGUGAAGGAGAGUGAUGCAGGGAAAUACUACUGUGCAGCUGAUAACGUUCACGGCCCCAUCCUCAGCACGUGGAUUCGAGUCACUGUGAGAAUUCCAGUAUCUCACCCCAUCCUCACCUUCAGGGCUCCCAGGGCCCACGCUGUGGUUGGGGACCUGCUGGAGCUUCACUGUGAGUCCCUGAGAGGCUCUCCCCCGAUCCUGUACCGAUUUUAUCAUGAGGAUGUCACCCUGGGGAACAGCUCAGCCCCCUCUGGAGGAGGAGCCUCCUUCAACCUCUCUCUGACUGCAGAACAUUCUGGAAACUACUCCUGUGAUGCAGACAAUGGCCUGGGGGCCCAGCAUAGUCAUGGAGUGAGUCUCAGGGUCACAGUUCCGGUGUCUCGCCCCGUCCUCACCCUCAGGGCUCCCGGGGCCCAGGCUGUGGUGGGGGACCUGCUGGAGCUUCACUGUGAGUCCCUGAGAGGCUCCUUCCCGAUCCUGUACUGGUUUUAUCACGAGGAUGACACCUUGGGUAACAGCUCGGCCCACUCUGGAGGAGGGGCAUCCUUCAACCUCUCUCUGACUACAGAACAUUCUGGAAACUACUCAUGUGAGGCUGACAAUGGCCUGGGGGCCCAGCACAGCAAAGUGGUGACACUCAAUGUUACAGGAACUUCCAGGAGCAGAACAGGCCUUACCACUGUGGGAGUCACGGGGCUGGUGCUCAGCAUCCUCGGCCUUGCUGCUGCUGCUGCUCUGCUGCAUUACGCCAGGGCCCGAACGAAACUAGAAGGACUUUCCGCCACUGGAACAUCUAGUCACAGUCCUAGUGAGUGUCAGGAGGCUUCUUCAUCCAGGUUUUCCAGGAUAGACCCUCAAGAGCCCACUCACUCUAAACCACUAGCCCCGAUGGAGCUGGAGCCGAUGUACAGCAAUGUAAAUCCUGGAGAUAGCAACCUGAUUUAUUCCCAGAUCUGGAGCAUCCAGCAUACAAAAGAAAACUCAGCUAAUUGUCCAACGAUGCAUCAAGAGCAUGAGGAACUUACAGUCCUCUAUUCAGAAUUGAAGAAGACACACCCAGAUGACUCUGCAGGGGAGGCUAGCAGCAGACACAGGGCCCAUGAAAAUGAUGAAGAAAACUAUGAGAAUGUACCACGUGUAUUAUUGGCCUCAGACCACUGGCCCCUUACCCAGAGUGGCCCACAAGAAACAGCCUGCACCAGUUUUUUUUCUGUUCUCUCCAACCACACAUCAUCCAUCUCUCCAGACUCUGCCUCCUACGAGGCUGGGCUGCAGGAUUCUGAACCUAAUAAAGGACAAAAUUCAAGAUUUUCCAUGUCUUUGUAACACUUAGCCCUGGGCAAAUCAGAGUAUGUGAGUGGAAGGAGGGGUGAGCCCUAACUGUACAUCUCGGAUAUAACAAAAGUGCAAAUUCUGAUUGCCCUGUAAAAUGAAUUAUUCUCAUGCAUUGCUCUACUUGACUUUUCCCUUUGAAUUCACAACUAAAAACCCAUAGCCCAGAAAUCUAAAAAACAGUAAUUUUAGUGGAGCUUUUGAAAAUAAAAGACCAUUGGAAAAAGUA
rnacentral:sRNA from 1 species